UCCCCGAUGGUCUAGUGGUCAUGAGUAAGUCCUCACUUCAUACUCGCCAUUAAGGAUUUAAUAAUUAACAUAUGUAGUUUCCGCUUGUCAUUAUAAUAACGAGCGCGGGAGACCAGGGUUCGAUUCCCUGUCGAGGAG